GAUGAACGCUGGCGGCGUGCCUAAUACAUGCAAGUCGAGCGAACGGACGAGAAGCUUGCUUCUCUGAUGUUAGCGGCGGACGGGUGAGUAACACGUGGAUAACCUACCUAUAAGACUGGGAUAACUUCGGGAAACCGGAGCUAAUACCGGAUGAUAUUUUGAACCGCAUGGUUCAAAAGUGAAAGACGGUCUUGCUGUCACUUAUAGAUGGAUCCGCGCUGCAUUAGCCAGUUGGUAGGGUAACGGCUUACCAAGGCAACGAUGCAUAGCCGACCUGAGAGGGUGAUCGGCCACACUGGAACUGAGACACGGUCAAGACUCCUACGGGAGGCAGCAGUAGGGAAUCUUCCGCAAUGGGCGAAAGCCUGACGGAGCAACGCCGCGUGAGUGAUGAAGGUCUUCGGAUCGUAAAACUCUGUUAUUAGGGAAGAACAUAUGUGUAAGUAACUGUGCACAUCUUGACGGUACCUAAUCAGAAAGCCGCGGCUAACUACGUG
rnacentral:rRNA from 1 species